ACGGGUGAGUAACGCGUGGGGAAUCUACCUUUUAGUGGGGAAUAACGCUCCGAAAGGAGUGGUAAUACCGCAUGAGACCCAUGGCUGGGAUGCUGUGGGUGAAACCCUGGGACCUUCGGGCCAGGGGCUAGAAGAGGAUCCUGCGUCUGAUUAGCUAGUUGGUGAGGUAACGGCCCACCAAGGCAUCGAUCAGUAGCCGGCCUGAGAGGGUGAUCGGCCACACUGGAACUGAGACACGGUCCAGACUCCUACGGGAGGCAGCAGUGGGGAAUUUUGCGCAAUGGGCGAAAGCCUGACGCAGCAACGCCGCGUGGGUGAUGAAGGUCUUCGGAUUGUAAAACCCUGUCGCCAGGGACGAAGGGUGGGGCGUUAAUAGCGCCUUACUUUGACGGUACCUGGAAAGGAAGCCCCGGCUAACUCUGUGCCAGCAGCCGCGGUAAUACAGAGGGGGCAAGCGUUAUUCGGAAUUAUUGGGCGUAAAGGGCGCGUAGGCGGUUUUUUAAGUCGGAUGUGCAAUCCCCAGGCUCAACCUGGGAACUGCAUCCGAGACUGGAAGGCUAGAGUACUGGAGAGGGUGGUGGAAUUCCUCGUGUAGCG
rnacentral:rRNA from 1 species